AUGAUCAUCAGCUUUCCUCAUGCAACUGCGGUUGGCCUGUUCAAGUUUGCGUUUGCUGUAAUCCGAGACCUGUUAGUGUUGUCUCCUCCUUUUGUGUAUGAUGGAAUCCACCAAGUCAAAUUUGUUCGUCACGACCAAGGCCCUAAUUGGCGCACUGCUCCUUUUAAUAGAAAGGGUUGGUUUCUAUUGCUUGACUUUCCCUUGGACUACAUCAUUACUAUGCAAUAUAUUUGCCUGGUGGUUUCUACUUUUGGUCAGCUUGACGUUUGGUGGGAGCAAGAUCCUAUUCAGGGACGUGUCUUUGUUAGAUUUAUGUACAGGGAUCUUGAUUCGGUUCCUAGCAAAAUAGUUCUUCAAGAUCCAACUGCUGGUGUUGGAGAGUCUAGGACAAUUUCUGUCUUUAUCUUAGAUGGUGAGUUUGCAGAUAUGUUCCCCCUGAAGGGGUGCUUCUGGUUGGUCUUUUGCUGUUGUAGACUAGGUUAUGCCUGGUUUGUGUGUGACUCUCCUUUAUCUUAAGUUUAAAUGA
rnacentral:lncRNA from 1 species